CCUACGGGUGGCAGCAGUAGGGAAUCUUUCACAAUGGGCGAAAGCCUGAUGGAGCAACGCCGCGUGCAGGAUGAAGGCCCUCGGGUUGUAAACCGCCUUUAUAAGCGAGAAAUAUGACGGUAACUUAUGAAUAAGGAUCGGCUAACUACGUGCCAGCAGCCGCGGUCAUACGGAGGAUCCGAGCGUUAUCCGGAGUGACUGGGUGUAAAGGGUUGCGUAGGGGGGGUGUCAAGUCAGGGGUGAAAUCCCCGGGCUCAACGUGGGAACUGCCUUUGAAACUGGCAAACUGGAGUGUAGGAGAGGAAGGUGGAAUUCCUGGUGUAGGGGUGAAAUGCGUAGAUAUCAGGAGGAACAUCGGUGGCGAAGGCGGCUUGCUGGCACGCAACUGACGCUGAGGAGCGAAAGCGUGGGUAGCAAACAGGAUUAGAUACCCGAGUAGUC
rnacentral:rRNA from 1 species